CAAAGGUUUGGUCCUAGCCUUAUUGUCAACUGUAGCUUAACUUACACAUGCAAGUAUCAGCAAACCAGUGAAAAAGCCCUUAAUCCCAAAGAAAAAGGAGCCGGUAUCAGGCACUCUUUAGCCCACAACACCUAGCCCAGCCACACCCCCAAGGGUACUCAGCAGUGAUUAAAAUUGCCAAUAAGCGCAAGCUCGAACCAGUUAAAGCUCCCAGGGUCGGCCAACCCGGUGCCAGCCGCCGCGGAUACACCGACAGCAGGACCCAAAUUGACAGUCAACGGCGUUAAGCGUGAUUAAAGACACCAAAUAAAUUAAAGUUAAGCAAAGCACUGUUGUCAUACACUUUUGCCCAGAAAAACUCAAAAACGAAAGUUACUUUAAUCUUAUCUUGACUACACGACAGCUAAAAAAACAAACUGGGAUUAGAUACCUCACUAUGUUUAGCCGUAAAUAAACUCACAACAAAUCGCCAAAGGAUUACAAGCGAAAGCUUAAAACUUAAAGGACUUGACGGUGUCUCAUCCCACUAGAGGAGCCUGUCCUAUAAUCGAUAACCCCCGAUAAACCCGACUGCUUUUUGCCUAUCAGCCUGUAUACCUCCGUCGAAAGCUUACCUCUUGAGAGAUAAUGUAGUGAGCAAACAGACUUUUCCGCCUCAAUGUCAGGUCAAGGUGCAGCCAACAAAGCAGCAGAGAUGGGCUACAGUUUUUCCCAAAACAAACGGAUGACCCUAUUAAACGGGCUCAGAAGGUGGAUUUAGAAGUAAAAAGAAGUCAUAGUAUUCUUUUUAAUUAGGUCCUGAGACAAGUACACACCGCCCGUCACCCUCUUCAAAUUUAUAUUUCUUGAUAUUUAACUACCUUUACCCUUCCAGAAGAGGCAAGUCGUAACAAGGUAAGCGUACUGGAAAGUGCGCUUGGAAA
rnacentral:ncRNA from 1 species